ensembl:lncRNA
AUUUUUGAUGCAUGUGAUUUUAUUCCAGAACCAAAGUGCUUUUCAAAGAAAACUCGUCAUGUCAGUUUUAUUGCACAUUACGAAGUUGCAGCUACGGUGCCAUAUAACAAUUGUGACAAGCCAAAUGUUUCUACUGCAGUUUCUUCUUUUUCCCUGAUCUUUCUAGAAUCCAGGCUUCUGCCACAGUGUUCAGUAAUGCUGCUUCUUGCUGGGAGUUGGUGAUACCAGGUGUUUCAGGAUUCUGCAUUUGAGAAAUUAGAGUAUCAACUUUCCAGAUAACCAGUUUUUUGUUGGUUUGUUCUGUUUCCCCCCAGAAAAGUCAAUUUUAAUUGGAAAAUUGUUUGGAAGGCUUACUUUUCUUUUAGUCUUUUAUCUUUAAUGAGAUUUUGUACUAUCAAGCAGCUCUGGAAGUCAGGUUGCUGAUUACAAAAUCGUUCAUUCUGAGCUUUGGAAACCACUCUUGGACAGAUUUAAAGUCUUCAGACUGUAAUAGGUGAUCCAUCAGAUGCUGUUGGAUGCUGAGUCCUGUCAAAGCCUCUGAACGUGGGUACUCUCUCCACUAGCAGAGAAGAUGGGAACUGGAUUAAGAGUGAGAACUGCCAGUCUCACAGGGCUUAGAAAUACACGUCCCUCCCGAGCUCUCCUGGCCUGCAACAACACUGCCAUAAGCCCGGCAUAUAUCAUGCACUUAUUUAUCAGAUUGAAACCUGCAUUUCCCCCUCGACCCCUCAUUCUAGUUACUAGAAUAGAAAGCGCAACUCCUUUUAUUUCCCUUCUUUCACCAUUCUCUUGAUCUACACUGACAAAUAUAAUCUAGCCUCCUGAAAGUAAACCAGUCAAAAGGAUCAUUUACUCAUUUGUUAUCUGUGUUUUUUAAUGACCAAAGUACAAAUUUCAGUUACGUUAGUAACCAUUUUUAGUCUGGAGCUGGUUGUAGCCUGCACUGAAUGCUCCGUGUUGCCUGUACCUUAUCAACUAUAGCAUUUUUUAUUAGCAUAUCUAUUUGUCUAUGUAUGCUCUCUAAACAUAAUCCCUUCAGAUAAAGUCAAGCAACAGGAACAUGAUAAAAGAACAUUAAAAAAAAAAACCUCAAACACUGAAUUUUACCAGAUGUGAGCCUCAUUUAUUAUUCAGGCACUAUUUCAGACCUUAUCAAGCCAUCAUGGCAGGUGCUGUGGCCAAACUCAAUGUCACCCAAAUUGGGGGCAGCCAAAAAUAACUGCUCACUUCAUUCAUUAUGUCAUCUUCGUUGCUAUUCUUGCAAAUUUUCUUUACAUAAAAGGUUUGUGGAGUAGCCUAACAGUGAGUAAGUGUUGUGGAAACAUGAGUGUUUGCUGAAAUCAGCACCAUGUCCUCCUUUUCUCUCUCUGUAGUGAUGGCUCAAGAUGUCUCAUUUAUCUAUUUCUCUCUAAGGCUUCAGUGAAUUCUGUGCUUCACAGCAGUGUCAUAACAUGUAAAGCGAGCAGAGAAGCGGAGGAACUGCUUUAAUGAAGAGGAGCUGUUUGAUGAAGGUGAGCAGAGGAAGGUGUGAAAAAAAAUGAUGAUGCUGUGUUUGUGGCUCAGCCUGCCUGUGAUGCUGUGGAGCAGCCAGACUGCCUGACUUGCUACUCAACAGCCACAAGCUGAUGAAAAUCAAUCUCUACUCUCUACAUCAAAGUACAGAAACAAAAUCCACUUGCUUCAGUCAAAGCAAGAGCAGGCUCGUAGUCCAGAAUAAAGAACUUCCUCAUGUCCUUUAAAAGCAUAGCCUGGGCCAAAUGCAAAGCAUGAGCCUGUUUCUGCCCUGUUCAUCCCAGUAGUUCCAGUCCUGGAAGGUGCUCAGCAUUUCCGAAUGAUGUCAAGCAUUCCUGAAGGACAAUGACUGUUCUCCUGGGCCGCUGAUGGCAGGGAACAAGGGACAGUCAGUGCCUCACACCUGCGCUCUGCACCUUGCAGAAUCGAGCCCUGGCUAACGCAGAAGUCCUACACAAAAAAAAUAAAAGGAACAUCAUCCUUUGACUGAAGAUAUCAGUAUACAUGCAGAGUAACCUCACAUUGCCUUUUUCCUUGCAGAACACGUGUGGGCUCUGCACGGUGCAGAACUGUACGCUUGGUCAGCUCCCGCAGGUCACAGGGAUCAGGACCGAAGGCACAGAGCUGAAAUGUAAUGCUGACAGUCCACAGCUGGUGCAUGGCCUCUACGUGCGGUUUGUCAGUAGCAAGGGUGGUUAUUGGUGACACACCACACUGGUAUUAGAUGCGGCUUACAACAAAACUCCUUACCUGGCUUAACUCUGCUACACGUGCAAAGUUUUCACGCUCAUGUAGUUUCAGCGGUGUAAUUACAUUCUCGUGAAAAAAUAUCCUGUGUAAACAAGCUCUUGGGGACCACUGCCAGAUGACAUGGGUCACAGCAGCUCUCAUGUUGCUCAAAUCUGUGCCCAAGGCUGGGCAGAGAAUGAGACAGCACUGAGUCUUUUGCUGCACUUGAUCUUGAUGAAGCACUCCAGGGAAUCUACUCGGUGUUUACCAGAGAUCCCAUGAGACUGAUGGACGUCUUAAAGCUGCAGGUGAGAAGCCCGCAUGAGAGAGUAUUUGGGUGGAUUUGAAAACUGCUGUAACCUAGAAAAAGUUCUCGAUUUCCUUUGUCCCCAUACGACUACCUAAAUGCAGGCAGCCCCAGCAGGGCUGACACAAAUUGCUGACAGCUUAUUCCAACACAAAACAUCCGCCUCUCCGAACUAAUGGUGUGCACCAGAACCCAACAAGUAGCCUCAAAUGUAGCAGAACUGAAGUCCAUAUUUUGACCAUCUUUGAGAUGCAACACAUUUUUAGGAAUGUUUCACAUCCAUAUAUAUGACAUCUACACUCCAAUGCCUUUCUCUCAGCUGUUUCAGUCUAAAAACCUCAGCUUUUAUUUAUAUUUCUUUUUUUUUUUGCCCCUGCAAACAACUCUUCUCACACAUCCCUCCACAAGCUAUUAACUGCCAUCAAUAGCUGAAAAUGUUUAGCCUUGUGGGAAUACAAGCAACAUCCCAAUGAAAACCAGACUGUGAAAACAGUAAGAGUGAGGCUUCAAGCUCAAAGAGAGGAGAUUUAGGUUGGAUAGAAGGAAAAAGGCUUUUACAGUGAGAGUGGUAAGGCACUGGAACAGGUUGCCCAGAGGUGUGGUUGAUGCCCCGUCCCUGGAGACUUUCAAAGCGAGGUUGGAUCAGGGCCUGAGCAACCUGAUCUAGCUGUAGUGUCCUUGUUCAUUGCUGGGGAGCUGGAGUAGAUGAUUUUUGAAGGUCCCUUCCAACUCUAAGGAUUCGAUUUCUGCACUUUCUCAACUGCUGUAGGUUGACAGGACAAAACUUCAGGUAUCUGUAGAUACUGCCAUGGCUUCACAACGGUCAGCCACAUGAAGACUGAGUAUGCAGAUUGCCCCAAGAUAUGUCUGUAUAAAGGGCAAAUUAUUAAAGCUUUCUGAUGAGUCAGGCUCAUUUCCUCUGGUUGGUGCCACCCUGUUUGGGAUGCAGGGCUUAGCUCCUCCCCGUGCCUGAAACCAGAACCAUGAGCUGUUUAUUCCCCGCGCCUUUGCCCAAAUCAUUGUCCUCUCCAUUACAGCUGGAGACAGGAUGCAAAUCUGCAAACACUUCAGAUGGGAAACAGUCCUUAGCCCUACCAACAGUCCUGCUGUGCAAACAACAGUAAGUGUCUGAAGUUUCAAGUUCCUAGUGAUUAUGUGAUUAAGGGACAGCAAUUAAGAUUCAAAACAAUGCAGGCCAUGGAAAUGCAAAUCAUUCUGGUCUUUCCUAAAGUACUAAAAAUCUCCAAAUCAAACAUCAGUAUCCAAAAUUAGAUCUAUAAUCAAGCAACAGAGAUUACACAACAUUCAUUACGAGGUUUGCAAAAGACCCAGAAGGAAGUAUAGAUCCACUCAUUAGGACUUCUAAUAUCACAGCAAGUAAAUUACUUUUUAAAAACAUCUUGCUUUACAGGGAAUAUGUAAUGUCAGGGGACUCAAACAGGCUCUGAGCAGCUUACACUUUUGGCUGCAGCCCAAGAUAGCAUGAGGCACAAAUCACACAAAUGUCUCAGUUGGUGUAAAUUCUGUGCUCAGCAUCUGCAGAAGCUUUCCUCCUCACUGUGAAAAAAUCCUGGUUGGUGCUUUGCUUCUUUGCCCAAAUUCAAAUAUUCUGUAUGUUGUCAGACAUAUCAGAAAAAUGAUGGUUAUUUCUUGAAUCUGCAUUUUUUUUUGUCCUCUCACUGUGCCAUAUAUAUAUAACGUAUCUCACAAUAUCUAUCCUGUACUGACAGUCAGUUCUAAAGUAACACUAUCAAGAAAAGGAAGUCAACUACAAUGCUGCAAAGAUUUCUUCUUCACAAAGCAAUUUUUUACCUCCUUCAACGGCUUAAAGUUCUGUUAAAAUGUAUUUUUACUGUACAAUUAUUCUGCAGGACUUGAAAUGAGAUUAUUUGGGCAUUAUAGCAGCCUAUAAAUAUUUAAAGCAUAAAACCCCAGAGAGGGUUAAUGUAAUACAGGAAAGUAAUAUUAGAACUACCAGGGUGAAUAAUGGAAUGGAAAGAUGGAAAAGUUUGAAUAUGUUUGAAUAUGGAAUAAUCUCCCAGUAAGAUAGAGCUGAUACUGCAUUACUUGGCGUUAUUUCAGUUACAAUCCCAAAACAACACUCAAAAUAUACAGAGUUAAAACACUGAUGAGAGACACAUUAGAACAUGAAACUGAGUAUUUGUGCAAACUGCUACACACCAAAUCCAUCUCCCUGGCUCUAAGAGUAAUGUGUUCCUCACAGACAAUAUAUGGAAUAGUUACAAAUAUUGGUUUAAAAAAAAACACAAAACUCAUGUCAAUUUACGUCUGUCAUUUUCACAGCCAGAAUAUGGACACUUUCUUGGUCAUCCACCCCUCAUGUUUCAAAACCAAGAUAUACACCCUUUUAGCACCUGUAAAACUGGUAGCACCUGUACACCAUGCCAAUGCGUUAGGCGGUUCAUAUCGUUUUAUCAAUGUUGCUGAGGUCUUUGUGCAAGAAGGGGAAGUAACCACCACUAUGGCGUGGUUUCUGAUCUGCUCGCUAGCAGCUCAGCUCACUCAGCUGGCUGGUUCAGAGUCUUUUUUUAAAUGCAAGCCUACAACAAUAUGCUCUAAAUGCUGGACUAAGCAAUUUCAGAACAUAUAUUUAGCUUGGUGUCUGAAUUCCUUUCUCUUUCAAGUUUGCUUGGUAAGAGUGUAAUAUUUUGCUGUAAAAAAGCUGAUCAUAGGCAGACAUAAAACAGCAAUGCAGGCUGUGCUUGUGCAGUGGACACUCUUAGUCCAGAUAUGGGAAUGUUAGAAUCCCAAAUAGUUUUCAUUUGAUUCUCCGUAAGCCCUCCCAAAAUAAGCCCAAUUUUAUUACACAUGGGACAUUUCCUCAUUAAAACUUCUUUAACGCCUCAGAAACGUACUCUGUGGAUUUUGAGGACAUUUUAGUUGCUCAAGAUCUGUCGACAUCUCAUAUCCCUAAACAAGUUUCUUCCCUCCAAGGUUGUUCUAUCUCCAGGAUUUUGUGGAGACAAACACAAAGACCUUCCAAGAGAGGUUCGGUAUUCCAGGCAAAAGAUAGACAGGAAUUUUGGUCUUGUUUGCCCAAGAGAAAAGUAAGAGAAAGGCAGCUCUCAGACUUCUGGGUCAUUGUGAAUUCAGGAGUAGGAUGAAAUAUUUAGGCAGGAAGAGAAAAAACAAAGUGUAGUGAAAUCCUCACAAAACCUUUUUUGUGUGUGCGUAUUUUUUUUUUCUUUCUGUUUAGAGGUUAUGUUUUUAAUAAUAUGAACCAACACCACCGUUAACAACAGGCUUAACACUGCACGGUAGGUGAGAUGUAUACCAGAAAAACAACUUGCUGAAGGCAGACUACUGAGCGCUUACACAGUGUUAUGAGAAGGUAAUAAGAAGAGCACAGCUCAACACAAGUAAUCCACAUUUUCUUCAGCAGCGUCAGUUCAAUAUCUUCCUCUCUAAGAACUUUCCCUUUUUGUUCUUCACACUUACCAGUGUGAAAUUGCCCCACUAACAUACUCAACCCAGACCCAGAUUCAGUGCUGAUCUCACCUUCUCCAGGUUGUUGAGACACGCAAUGCCUCUCAGUUAGCCAUCUAUGGACUGUUUUCCUACCUGAAUCCCAUGUUGCACAACAGAUGCAGUUAUUGCUUACCUAAUGUUUGUUACAAAACCUGUGACAGCAUUUUUUCCUCACAGCCCUACAAGAGGAAAUAGCAUUUUACUUGAAACGCUGCGCUGAAUGUUGGCACAAGAGGUGUCUUAAAAGAGCAGAGAAGAAUGCUGUCAGGAGAAUGUUUCCAGGCCUACCUUCCCUCCCACAUCCAACUGUGUUGAAAUAAUCAAAUGUUAUACCACUCUUACUUGGGAAGAGGAUGACUAACAGCAGCUAAUUACUGCUCAGUCUGUUGCCCUCAGCAGCUAUCGGUCUGAAUCACACCUGCUGACAUGGAGGGGCACGGUGUUCGGUGUGGUGCUCUGGAGGCAAUUCAGUUUUCAGAGGCUUCCUUAGGAGGCAGCGACUGGGGUGAAGUCUCCAUAUGUUAAGACAUUAUCACAGAGGAGCUAACGCCAUAUCUGAUGCAGCAGAUGGCCUGAGCCUCUGCAGGCCAGCCCUGUCCUGCCGUGGGUGCUGGACCAGCCUAUGUUGUACUGCAAGAGAAGGAGAGGAUGGUUAGCGCUUUCUGCCUGCUCCAUCCCUCUGCAGCACAGGCUGAACCCAGCUCAGUCGUACUGGAGAUUAGAUCCUGCUUUCUUCCCAGUUUGUUGCUGCAGUAGCAAAGAGUUGGCAAAGGGCCUUCAGUAUCAUAUUUGAUCUGUUGACACUUGCAGCAGUGCUGGACUCUAACGCUGUAGGAGUUUCCGUCUGGAGAAAUAUGGUAGCCCUUCCUGCCUCCUCACUCCACUCCCUAUGGAAAACUUCCCUCUUGUUUUCCCAAAUUCUGGGCCAAAUAAAAUACACCAAAAUAACAUUGGAGACAGAGAAGGAAUCUCUUGCCUCAAACUUGGCCUUGGAGCAACACAUGCAACCAGGACUCGUCUCACAAGUGAAGUCACGCGGGUGGAAUCCAGGCAGGGUUUCAUCAGUGGGGACGGCAGGUUCGCCCUGACUGCUAUGCAACCAGUUAUCACCCCUGUUUGUGGUGUCCAGAAUGACCACUUUUGUCUGGUUUUGUCCUAGGUUGGGCUCAUGAGAGUUCACAUAUUAUACACUUCAGCUGGCUAACUUAAAACUUUCUAGGAAACAAAGGGCCAGGAGGUCCUGAGCUAUGGUGGCACUGCUGUCUUCUGGCCAAUGUUGCAAUGACACUUCACCGCAGCACUGAGAAGAGGCAGAAAGUAAUAUUUUCAUCUGAAUUAGAGAUCCUGUCUCACCCUCAAAGCUUUUUGUUACUUCAGGGAUGUUCUCCUGAGUAAUCACAUAAUUCUGCUGCACUUGAAUAAUGUAUUCAACAUCUGACAUAUGAGCCAGAGGCUGGAUUUCUAUGGCAUUACCCACCCCCCGCUAAGCAAUCAUUAUUAUUCUGUCUAUGCAGAGCACAGAUCUUUUCUAGGAAGUCUCUUGCAUGCAGGGCAGCAAGGCCCCGCACAGAGAUGCCGAAGAGCAUCCUUUUGUACCUACAGUUCCUCAGUGUCAUUCCAGCCUUGAAUCCUCACUUCUUCUCAUUAUUAGAGGCUGAGGUUAGGCCAAAAGCUGAUGAUGUAGCAGAGUGCUGUUCUUCACUUAGAAGUAAGAUGAGCAUUAUUAUCAAGCUUCUGUCAUCCCUGUCCAACCUGGGAUACCUUUAGUGCACCAUACUACUAUACACAGUAGUACAAUUCAAGGUGCAGUCCCUUUAAGAGAACCAGAGGGGACUUUCUCUACAAUGCAGCUUCUCUGUUGUUUUCUGCCAAGAUGUGUGAGAUGUGUGUUUAAAAAUCGUAUUAGCAAGUAUAACCCUGUUUAACUUACCCUGUCUUAUAUGGAUUUUCAUCCCUGUGUGCAAUCAGUGUCAAGACAAUAUGUGCAGUGAUAAUGAAUGGCCACAUACUGUGUGCUGUAACUUCAGCUCUUUUUAGGGAGUUUGAAUCUCUUCCUGAUUUCCAUCUGCCUCCUGCUCUAAUGAAGGCCAUCUGGCUCUUCAGAGCCAUCUCUGUGCUGGUUAGAUGGGAUGUGUGUGUUUGAAGUAGCACUGCUCUUCUGAGGAAAUUUCCAUUUCAGGUAUGGACCGGCACAAAUGGGGUUGCCAGCUGAUUGUGGACACUUCUUGGGUACAUGAACUUAAAAGCCGUAAGUGAUCAUUCUGUAGUCUGACUGUACAUCUGACUUAGCCUGAGUUGUCGAAUGACACGUAUUCUCCCACGCUAUCCAUAACUAUUGAAAGUAUAUUGGAAUCAUACUAGUGUUAACUGUCUAAACAAAGUCCUGAGGUUGCCCUUCUGCAAUUUAUCUUCAGCCCUCAGUGAGUGUUCUUGUAUCAGCUAGUGCAGACAGCAAGAUAAUUCACACCAGCUGAUGUUCUCAGCCUCCAUCUUCUCCUCCCCUCUCUUACUUACCUCGAGUGGUACUGGUCUCCUAUUUUUCAGUAGAUUUGAAUUGCUUGUAAAAAUGUAUAUACAAAAUCCGUGAUCUGAGAAAAAAAGUUCUCCCCAGUGAUUUAACAGCCUCUCAGCAGUAGCAUUACUUGGCAGACGUCCAGGAAAGAACUUCAAGUCACUGGCUAGGUUUUCAUACUUCACUGUGCUGUCCUGUCAUCUUGAUAUGGAAACACUCAAGUGCUGAUUCUGAGCCCCUUACUCAUGGCUCUGGCAGUUAUAACAGCCACCAUUAGGCCACGACAAUUCAUGAUGUGUGAUCUGUUUAUCUACAGAGACAUCAGGUUGGAAGUUGCAUGAGUGUCCAUGUGAUCAGUGGUCAAGCAACCAACAUUGUUUUAAAAAAUCAAACAUGCAGGGAAUUCAAUAGUAGCCCACUUUUCCUGUUACACAAGUCCUCUUUCCCUUACCUAACUUCCUCCUGUGUGAACACCACAUUUCCUCAGCUAAUUCCUGACAAACAGUUUUGUCUUUCCUAUCCUAUGCCCCACAUUCUUUGGAUUUUUCACGUAGAUCAUAGAAUCAUUAAGGUUGGAAAAGACCUCUAAGAUCAUCUAGUCCAACCAUCAUCCCAUCACCACAAUGCCCACUACUCAUGCCCCUCAGUACCCCAUCUGCCCUUGACGUUUAGCUGAGAUUUGUCACUUUUUCUUCUUUUUAAUCACACUCUUACCUUCAGAUCCUCCUGGUUCCCCACCCUUGCCUGCCUUUCUGUCCUGUUAGCCCACAUCACACAUCACCACUCCCUGCUCUCUUCUGUGAGUCUGCAAGGCCUCCAUCAGUGGAGGCCUUUAAGAACAGGCCCGAGCACAAUUACCAGAAAUAGCGUUAAGUACCAUACAUUCUGCCUUUCGGCAGGAAACCAAUUAAAGGCCUUACUGUGGCCCCUUCCAGACCUGCAUCACCCUGAUUCUAUUAUCCUUUGCAUUAGUGGGAGAGCAAUAAUGGAGCCAUGCUUCUUGGCACAAGAUUGUUAUCUUGGGCUCCUGGGUAUGAAGCCGGAGCUCUCUUUCGGCCUGUACAUAACACCAGCACUCAUGCUUUUCCUUCUGACUUCCAUUGGUGCCUUCAACUUCUGACCUUCUCUUUGUCUUCAGUUAUCAAAUUACUUUCAUUUUCAGUCAUUCUACAUUUUCAAGCACAACCUGGUACUUCUCACUGGAACUUCCCCAUUAGUCAUCAACAAUUCCCUCCCAAUUAUUUUAGAUCUUUUGAGGUAAAUACUGCUUGUGUGCACUAAAUCAUGCAGCCCUUGUAGACAUCAAUUGGACUGCGGAUGUGUGAUCGAGAAUAGGUUCAUCCUUUUUUGCUGUGUUGCAUGGUUUCCUUCUCUUUUUCACACCAUUCAUGAGGUUUUUGUCUUUUCUGGUAAUUCUGCACAUCCUGCUACCUUGAUUGAAAGCACUUUUCCCAUCAGCAGCCAAAAUUUGCUGUCAGAUGUGCAAGUAGGAUACACCAGUCAAGGAAUACAGCCCUUCCAAAAAUAUUACUUUUCUCUUGCGUUAAAUUCCUUGGCAAACAAGUUUACCUAUUUGCCUAUUUUACUGCAUGCUAAAAGAUUUCAGAAUGAAUAGCACAUUAUACCCAUGCAGCCACAAAUUGCUGUUAUCUCUCCCGAACAAUUCUCUUAUUAUACAUCCUUUGAAAACCUGAUACCAUCGCAUAACCUUGGAGCCCAAAGAAUAAAGCCAUCCAUUAACUUCUUUAUACUUUGGAUCGGCCUGCAAAAACAGCUUACUGUUCCAGGAUCCUUCGCAACAGGAUUGCUCAUUAUCAGCCCUCAGCUAUUGUGCUAACAGUUCCACACGGAGUACAAAAAGAAGCAAAGGGGUUUGCCUGUGGCUUUCUAUUAUUUUAAGCACUCUGGACUGAACUUACAUCAAUAUUGUUACUGGUGUACUUCAAAUAAUAGCCAAAAGAACAGAUGACUGGGAAAAGGUGAAGUGAUUUGGGGAGGAGGAGGAAAUGCCGAUGCUGCUGGAAAAACAAUUUUUUUUUUUUAGUUUAAAAAGCACUGUUUCACUGAAGCAGGCUUCAUGAUGAGCACUGCUGAGUCCCAUGGAAUUAGUCCUAAUUUGUACUACAACUGAGAAACGAGUAAAAAUUUUAAAGAGGUACAAAAAGAUGAAGUACAUAAAAAUCUCAAAGAAAGUAGAUCUCUGAAAUGAUCAGGAGAAGUAUUCAGAACCCUAGUACAGAGAGCCCAAAUCCCAAGAGAUAUUCAAGCCUGUGCAACCUUCUGUAGUAAAGCCUUGCAGCUCUCUGGGCAGGGAACUCACAAAAAGCAUUUUCAAAACUUGAAGUCUGUCUGCUGUAUUGUUUCCUUAGAAAAUUAGGUUUGCCAUCACACUAUUAAACCAGUGAUAAUUCACCUAUAGAGCACAACUACUGCUGGGUCGUAGUAUUUCAAUUCUUUUUACCUAUUCCAUUAAAGUCCUUCUGGGAAAAUACAAUUUUUUUUUUUUUAGUUGUGCUCUAUUUUACUUCUUUACAUUCUUUUCCUGGAGCUCUUUUCCAGCUGUUUUUAUUAUCCACUUGAUCUCCUGUUAUGCUGGAAGACAGGAGCACCUCAAACAGUCAGGUGCAGGGGUAAAAAGAAAAAAACAAAGCAGACCCAAAUCCUGUGAUGUGGGUGGAAUUUCCCUUUUUCUCCUCAUCACUUCCAAACUGAAGCUAAUUGGUGUCACACCCUGCCCCAUACGUGAUGUAGCACAUAGUCAGAUGCCUACACCACCAGGCCCCCAGUGCUGCUGGUAGCGUACCUGAAGUCCCUUUCAUUUCUGCUUUAGGGCAAGCGGAGGGCAAAAAGGCAUCUCCCUUUUUUUGAGGGGGGCGGUCAAGAGGCCACACCACCACUCUCCCCCAGGGGGCUGCUUGUAGCAGAGCAUGUUGGCCCUUUGAGAAACUGGUGGAGCAGCUGGUCUGGCUCUGUAAUGAAACAUGCACAGGUGCUGGGAAUUUGCCCGAGGGUACAGGUCCCACAUGAGAGAUGCAAAUAAGAAGGAGUGGAUGCAGCUUCCAUCAGGGAUGGACAGAGAUCUGUCCCAGUACAAAGGCAGCCCUUUCCCCUAGGAUAUCCAGCUCCUCUGCUGGGGAUAAAGGACAGUAGGGAUUUUUCCUGUUUGAUGGGUUGAGUUGUUGUUUUCCUUUGAUUUAUUAUGGGAAAAAAAUCUAAAAUGAGAUGCUCUUGGGCAAGCAUUUAUGGUGCUCAUUAUCAUAAGCUGGUGGGAGGCAAGACAGGUCUGUGAUGGUAAGGAACAGAGACUCUCUUCUAUCAGCAUCGCUCUAUUCAAGCUGCUAGUAAAGCCAUUUCAAUUUCUUCUUACCUUUACCAACUGAGGUAUGUGUGCUGCCAGCAGUCUGGGUGGGGAGAGAAAACAUCUGGCUGUCAUGUCUGAAGUUGGAGAACAGGUACUGAAGGCUCAGAGCCUAUGUCUGCAGGUGAGCAGGAUAAAAUAGCAGUUUCUAAGGAGGCUGCUCUCACUCACAGCUGAUGCUACCUGAUGGGAAAAGCUUCUAAAGCAGUUUUCAAGGACAACAGCACCCAAAACAACGAUUAUACUCUAAAGGGAGGAGGGAAAAAAAAUGGUGAGUAAGGAUGAGAUUUGAUAGUUACAAACAAUGGAUUUUGGAAGACCUGUUUCAGGCAAGCAAGACGGUUACCUUAUCAUGCAAACUCAUUACUCCCCGCACACUCUGUGUUUGCUGUGGGCUGUAUAUUGGGUGAGACCACGGUUUUCCUUUGUUUAGUUCAUGCUGACCUUGUAACUCCUACACAGUGGGCAGUCGCAUAAUCAGGUGUCACGGCCAACACUUCACAAAACAGGCAAAGUUUGUGAGAAAUGCUGCUGUUACCAUAUUUCUUGGCAUCUGCAAUCCAGGCUCUUCUGUCCAAACCCAACAACAACAACAAAAAUAAUAAGAAAUCACCAAUACCCUUCAUGGCAGUUAAGAGGCAUAUAAAAUAAUUAAAUAUUUUCCUCUGGAAACUUUUUUUUUUUUUUUCAUUCCAAAGUAACUGUUAUCAUUCUGGUCCAUUUCCAUGGGUUUCUAUCUACUAUAAUCUAAUCACAACUAUUUUUAGAACAUCGGUGAAUAAUAAUAUUAGACAGCGCUGCUCCCUGUGAGACGAUUUGAAAUUCCCAGUCGAGUUUCUGCUAGGGAAGCACAUCAUAGAAAGCACCAUCGCAAAUCUGCACCUUCGUUACAGAGGCUGGCAGAGAGAUCAAGGGCUUGGAGGGGCUGCCAUCUGAAGUCGCUUCUGUAGGAAGAUAUACUGUUAAGGAUCAGAGCAGAAGGGCUUUUGUUCUGCCACUGGAGUAAGUGCUUAUAGAUAAAAGGAGGAUGCCUGGGCCAUCAACUUGACAUGAAAUUCACUUAGAACUAACCACGCGAUGGUGGACAGAAAAACAAACUGAAUGUAUUUUUACUUUGCUUAAGUAGCACUCCAGUCACCUUGUAAAUGAAUGCUGAUGCUCAGUCAGGCCACUGGAAUGGAGGACGUACAGCAUCAUUUGAAAUUGCACAAGCGUGGCAGCAGAAUGAAAAGUUUAGAGACUACAUUACAGACAUUUUCAUUAUGUUUAGUGUGUUUUUGUCAAGCCCUCAGAAUGCCUGCAGUGCAAACAGGUGGCCACCUGCAACAGGUCCAUAUGACAAACUACCACCAUAGCGGACUUUUACAAACAUGGAUACAGGUACAGCAUUGUCUCUAAUUCCCUGAGCAGCCCCUUCAGAUCCCAGAUGAAAUAUACUGGGUAAGACAGUAGAAAGGGGAAGAUUUUUAUAGCUUGUGCUGUGGUUAGAGAGGAGAUCUGAGUUUUUGAAUCACUUUGAUACCUUUUACUUACGCAACAGAAAAUCCUUUUUGGACACACUUUCUUUUGUUACAUUGAAAAAUGAAUAAAUAUAAUGAUUUUUUUUUUUUUUUAAGAGUGUGUGUGAGAGAAAGGAUGGCUUAUCAUAAACGUUCAUCUUAUCUUGUUCAGUUCUCUGGAAUUCUCACUUUACCCAUCAUCCAGAGCCUACGUCUGCUCCUGCCAAGGAGUGACCAACACAUAGGGCAUCCCCAAUCCAAAGAUCACCAAGCACCUCAUGAAAUUCAGCAGCUGAUUACUUACCAUAUGUACAAAGGGCAUUUUGCUCACCACUGUAAUUCAGCCGCCUCCAGGAUGGAAAACAGUAAGUAUUGUUUGAGGAUUCUAAGGCAUAUAGUUGUAAAUAACGAUAUUAAUAAAAAAGAACAGAAUAAUUGGAUUUUUUUGAAAAAAAAAACAACAAAAAGAGAACAUUCGAAUCAUCUAGUCCAAUUGCCAACCCAUCCCCACCAUGCCCACCAACCAUGUUCCUCAGUGCCACAUCCACAUGGUUCUUGACCACCACCAGGGAUGGUGACUCCAUCGCUUUCCUGGGCACCUUAGGCACAAAUGAAUCAAUUACCCAUCAUGACUGUUAUCAGAAUAAGAGAGAUUUAUAUUUUGAUAAAGUCCAGGAAGUGAUACAGGAUUUUAACUGACUCAAUUAGUUAAACCCUUGGUUUUAGAGCUGCCACCACAACAUAAACCACUCUUCCUGCUAAAGAAUGUCCUGGAAACUGGCUCACAGUUUUUGGGGGUUUUUUGUUUCUUUGUUUAAGUAGAAGGAAAACUAAGCCCACAUGAAUUUGCAGUACCUCAUAAGAAGAGCAUAUGCCUGAAGAAGAGGACAUAAUAAAUGGUCAUCCAGAUGCAAUCCCACCUGUAGGCCUCUGCCACACGGUCUAUGCUCUCUGCUGAAGGAUCUAAGUCAGUUGUGGGUGUCUGUAAAGCAAGGCUGGAGCAAGGGGAGCACCUUUUCCACCUCUUGGCAGAUCCCUGCUUCACAGUUCAAGCAGGAUAGAUAUGCUGUCAUGUGGAGGUACCGAUGCUCUUGCUCACUCCCAUGGAGGAGAGGGUUGGGUCUUGCUCCUGUUGCUUCAUUUGAAUGUGGUUUUGUAGGAGCAGCAAAAAGUGGAUACUCGCUGGAGUAGACUCUGUCAUCAUCUGCACCAGCAUUAAUUUGAGAUAGACUUCUCAUAGACAUAAACGAUCAUCUCCAAAUAUAGUGCAGUACAAAUGAGAGCAAAAUGUGACUUUAAAGUACAAAUUUUACUGUUACUGCCUGCAGGACUGCAAAUUCUAUUAUAAAUGUUUCAAAACAUUUAUCAUCCCCAAAGAUUAAUUAAAGAUAAGCAAUUCUUUAGCAACAGCUCACCCUUACAAACUACUUUCUGAUGGGAUACACAGAAGAAUAUCAUUCCUGAUGCUCUCAGGUUGUUGUUUUUUUUCCCCUCUCAAUCAUUCUUUUCCCUUACCUGCAGCCUGGUCUUCAGUGGCAACAAUGAACGACACACCUCUAGGUGGGAGAAAACAACUCCCUGUAACUUCCACAAUCAGUGAAGGCGCUCAGACCUUUAAACAGAUGACUGAGGAGCUGACUAUAGCACCUGGAUCUCAGGUUUGAGCACGAAGUGUUACAGGUGAUCACACAGCCUUAGCCCCUGUGUUCACACAGGGCUUGGCUGUGCAAGUCAGGCAGCCAGGUCGUUCGGUCACAUUACUCAUUCACCUAAAGCUCAGCACUUUGCUCAAUGCUUUGCUGUUCCAGUUUGGAG